UCAGUGCUGCAGUUAACGCAAUAAGUACUCCGCCUGAGUAGUACGUUCGCAAGAAUGAAACUCAAAGGAAUUGACGGGGGCCCGCACAAGCGGUGGAGCAUGUGGUUUAAUUCGAAGCAACGCGAAGAACCUUACCAGGUCUUGACAUACCUCUAAAGGCUCUAGAGAUAGAGAGAUAGCUAUAGGGGAUACAGGUGGUGCAUGGUUGUCGUCAGCUCGUGUCGUGAGAUGUUGGGUUAAGUCCCGCAACGAGCGCAACCCUUGUCGCUAGUUACCACCAUUAAGUUGGGGACUCUAGCGAGACUGCCUCUGCAAGGAGGAGGAAGGCGGGGAUGACGUCAAAUCAUCAUGCCCCUUAUGACCUGGGCUACACACGUGCUACAAUGGACGGAUCAAAGGGAAGCGAAGCCGCGAGGUGGAGCGAAACCCAAAAACCCGUUCUCAGUUCGGACUGCAGUCCGCAACUCGACUGCACGAAGUUGGAAUCGCUAGUAAUCGCGAAUCAGAAUGUCGCGGUGAAUACGUUCUCGGGCCUUGUACACACCGCCCGUCACGCCAUGAGAGUUGGUAACACCCGAAGCCGGUGGCUUAACCGCAAGGAGAGAGCUGUCUAAGGUGGGACUGAUGAUUAGGGUGAAGUCGUAACAAGGUAUCCCUACGGGAACGUGCGGCUGGAUCACCUC
rnacentral:rRNA from 1 species